GAGGAAACAAAGGUGUGUUAAAACUGAAGAUAACACAGUGAAACAGAUGUCUGAUCCCAGUGAAGACACAUAUACAGCUCUUGAGCUCAAGUCCACGACCUCUGACCUGUACGACACACUCACGACCGUUCGUCCCAGACCUCCUGAAGACUCUUGAUCCUAAACAUGAGAAUCCAUCAAUCAACAGGAAGAUGCUGCAGUGAGAGGCGGAGCACAAAGGAACCAAUCCUGAGCUCUGUGGGCGGAGCCACAUAUGAUUGACAGCUGUCAUUAGUGAAGAGUUGAUGAAGCGUUUUAUUUUCUUGUAGCUUAAAUACAUGAUGUAA